CCUACGGGAGGCUGCAGUGGGGAAUAUUGGACAAUGGGCGAAAGCCUGAUCCAGCAAUGCCGCGUGAGUGAUGAAGGCCUUAGGGUUGUAAAGCUCUUUUACCAGAGAUGAUAAUGACAGUAUCUGGGGAAUAAGCCCCGGCUAACUCCGUGCCAGCAGCCGCGGUAAUACGGAGGGGGCUAGCGUUGUUCGGAAUUACUGGGCGUAAAGCGCGCGUAGGCGGCUCUUCAAGUCAGAGGUGAAAGCCUGGAGCUCAACUCCAGAACUGCCUUUGA
rnacentral:rRNA from 1 species